rnacentral:rRNA from 1 species
GUGUCAGCAGCCGCGGUAAUACGGAGGGUGCGAGCGUUAAUCGGAAUUACUGGGCGUAAAGCGCGCGUAGGUGGUUUGUUAAGUUGGAUGUGAAAUCCCCGGGCUCAACCUGGGAACUGCAUUCAAAACUGACUGACUAGAGUGUGGUAGAGGGUGGUGGAAUUUCCUGUGUAGCGGUGAAAUGCGUAGAUAUAGGAAGGAACACCAGUGGCGAAGGCGACCACCUGGACCAACACUGACACUGAGGUGCGAAAGCGUGGGGAGCAAACAGGAUUAGAU